rnacentral:rRNA from 1 species
AGUGAGCGCUGGCGGUAGGCCUAACACAUGCAAGUCGAACGGCAGCACAGUAAGAGCUUGCUCUUACGGGUGGCGAGUGGCGGACGGGUGAGGAAUACAUCGGAAUCUACUUUUUCGUGGGGGAUAACGUAGGGAAACUUACGCUAAUACCGCAUACGACCUACGGGUGAAAGCAGGGGAUCUUCGGACCUUGCGCGAUUGAAUGAGCCGAUGUCGGAUUAGCUAGUUGGCGGGGUAAAGGCCCACCAAGGCGACGAUCCGUAGCUGGUCUGAGAGGAUGAUCAGCCACACUGGAACUGAGACACGGUCCAGACUCCUACGGGAGGCAGCAGUGGGGCAUAUUGGACAAUGGGCGCAAGCCUGAUCCAGCCAUACCGCGUGGGUGAAGAAGGCCUUCGGGUUGUAAAGCCCUUUUGUUGGGAAAGAAAAGCAGCAGGUUAAUACCCCGCUGUUCUGACGGUACCCAAAGAAUAAGCACCGGCUAACUUCGUG